rnacentral:rRNA from 1 species
AUUGAACGCUGGCGGCAGGCCUAACACAUGCAAGUCGAGCGAGUGGCGGACGGGUGAGUAAUGUCUGGGGAACUGCCUGAUAGAGGGGGAUAACUACUGGAAACGGUAGCUAAUACCGCAUACCAUCGGAUGUGCCCAGAUGGGAUUAGCUAGUGGGUGGGGUAACGGCUCACCAAGGCGACGAUCCCUAGCUGGUCUGAGAGGAUGACCAGCCACACUGGAACUGAGACACGGCCCAGACUCCUACGGGAGGCAGCAGUGGGGAAUAUUGCACAAUGGGCGCAAGCCUGAUGCAGCCAUGCCGCGUGUAUGAAGAAGGCCUUCGGGUUGUAAAGUACUUUCAGCGGGGAGGCGUUACCCGCAGAAGAAGCACCGGCUAACUCCGUGCCAGCAGCCGCGGUAAUAC